rnacentral:rRNA from 1 species
AGAGUUUGAUCCUGGCUCAGGAUGAACGCUGGCGGCGUGCCUUAAGCAUGCAAGUCAAGGGGGCGCAGUAAUGCGCAACCGGCGGACGGGUGAGGAAUACGUGGGAAUCUACCUUAAAGUAUAGGAUAGCCAGCCGAAAGGUUGGGUAAUACUGUAUGUGAUCGCAAGAUUAAAGAUUUAUCGCUUUAAGAUGAGCCUGCGUCCUAUCAGCUUGUUGGUGGGGUAAUGGCCUACCAAGGCAACGACGGGUAGCUGGUCUGAGAGGAUGGUCAGCCACAAUGGGACUGCGACACGGCCCAUACACCUACGGGUGGCAGCAACCGGGAAUAUNNNNNNNNNNNNNNNNUUUGCAAGGGAAGAUUAUGACGGUACCUUGCGAAUAAGCACCUGCUAACUACGUGCCAGAAGCCUCGGUAAUACGUAGGGUGCAAGCGUUAUCCGGAUUCAUUGGGCGUAAAGUGUUGCGUAGGCGGUUUACUGCAUCUUGUUUGAAAGGCUAUGGCCUAACCAUAGUUUCGGGCAAGAAAUGAGUAAACUUGAUGGUUUAAGAGGGUACUGGAACAGAUCGUGUAGCAGUGAAAUGCGUUGAUAUGAUCUGGAACACCAAAGGCGUAGGCAGGUACCUGGGAAACCCAUGACGCUGAGGCACGAAAGCUUGGGGAGCGAAGCAGAUUAGAGACCUGCGUAGUCCAAGCCGUAAACGAUGGAUGCUAGUUACCCGAUUUUUUUGGGUGACGCAAGGUAACCCGUUAAGCAUCCCGCCUGGGGAGUACGAUCGCAAGAUUAAAACUCAAAGGAAUUGACGGGGAGGCGCACAAGCAGUGGAGCGUGUUGUUUAAUUCGAUACAAAGCGAAAAACCUCACCAGGGUUUGACAUGUAGAUGCUAAGCCUAUGAAAGUAGGCCUCCUUCGAGGGUUCUACACAGAUGCUGCAUGGCUGUCGUAAGUUCGUGGCGUGAGCUGUCCCCUUAAGUGGGCAAACGAACGAAACCCGCGCCGUAUGUUAAAUAGUUCAUACGGGACAGUCCUAAUUUUUAGGAAGGAAGGAGCGGAUGACGUCAAGUCAGCACGGCUCUUACACCCUGGGCUACAAACACCCUACAAUGGCGAAAAACAACGAGCUGCAACCUGGUAACAGGAAGCAAAUCUCUGAAAUUUCGCCUCAGUUCAGAUUGGGGGCUGCAAUUCGCCCCCAUGAAGUCGGAAUUGCUAGUAAUCGCGAAUCAGCAGGUCGCGGUGAAUACGUUCUCGCCUCUUGUACAAAAUAAAUGCGCCUGGCAGUUUAAUAAACUAGGUGGUGUAAAUCCAUCUGCCACGAAAGUGGCAUAGUUGCGGACAGGACAUCUCUGGUAACAGAAUGUCUGAAGGGUCCCAU